GUACACGAAGGCACACAGGCUGUGAGCUCGAUGAGUAGGGCGGGACACGUGAUAUCCUGUCUGAAGAUGGGGGGACCAUCCUCCAAGGCUAAAUACUCCUGACUGACCGAUAGUGAACCAGUACCGUGAGGGAAAGGCGAAAAGAACCCCGGCGAGGGGAGUGAAACAGAACCUGAAACCGUGUACGUACAAGCAGUGGGAGCCUUCGUAAGAGGGUGACUGCGUACCUUUUGUAUAAUGGGUCAGCGACUUAUAUUCUGUAGCAAGGUUAACCGUAUAGGGGAGCCGAAGGGAAACCGAGUCUUAAUUGGGCGUUAAGUUGCAGGGUAUAGACCCGAAACCCGGUGAUCUAGCCAUGGGCAGGUUGAAGGUUGGGUAACACUAACUGGAGGACCGAACCGACUAAUGUUGAAAAAUUAGCGGAUGACCUGUGGCUGGGGGUGAAAGGCCAAUCAAACCGGGAGAUAGCUGGUUCUCCCCGAAAGCUAUUUAGGUAGCGCCUCGUGAACUCAUCUCCGGGGGUAGAGCACUGUUUCGGCUAGGGGGCCAUCCCGGCUUACCAACCCGAUGCAAACUGCGAAUACCGGAGAAUGUUAUCACGGGAGACACACGGCGGGUGCUAACGUCCGUCGUGAAGAGGGAAACAACCCAGACCGCCAGCUAAGGUCCCAAAGUCAUGGUUAAGUGGGAAACGAUGUGGGAAGGCCCAGACAGCCAGGAUGUUGGCUUAGAAGCAGCCAUCAUUUAAAGAAAGCGUAAUAGCUCACUGGUCGAGUCGGCCUGCGCGGAAGAUGUAACGGGGCUAAACCAUGCACCGAAGCUGCGGCAGCGACACUAUGUGUUGUUGGGUAGGGGAGCGUUCUGUAAGCCUGCGAAGGUGUGCUGUGAGGCAUGCUGGAGGUAUCAGAAGUGCGAAUGCUGACAUAAGUAACGAUAAAGCGGGUGAAAAGCCCGCUCGCCGGAAGACCAAGGGUUCCUGUCCAACGUUAAUCGGGGCAGGGUGAGUCGACCCCUAAGGCGAGGCCGAAAGGCGUAGUCGAUGGGAAACAGGUUAAUAUUCCUGUACUUGGUGUUACUGCGAAGGGGGGACGGAGAAGGCUAUGUCGGCCGGGCGACGGUUGUCCCGGUUUAAGCGUGUAGGCUGACUUUCCAGGCAAAUCCGGAAGGUUAAGGCUGAGGCGUGAUGACGAGGCACUACGGUGCUGAAGUGACAAAUGCCCUGCUUCCAGGAAAAGCCUCUAAGCAUCAGGUAACAUCAAAUCGUACCCCAAACCGACACAGGUGGUCAGGUAGAGAAUACCAAGGCGCUUGAGAGAACUCGGGUGAAGGAACUAGGCAAAAUGGUGCCGUAACUUCGGGAGAAGGCACGCUGACAUGUAGGUGAAGCCCCUGCGGGUGGAGCUGAAGUCAGUCGAAGAUACCAGCUGGCUGCAACUGUUUAUUAAAAACACAGCACUGUGCAAACACGAAAGUGGACGUAUACGGUGUGACGCCUGCCCGGUGCCGGAAGGUUAAUUGAUGGGGUUAUCGCAAGAGAAGCUCCUGAUCGAAGCCCCGGUAAACGGCGGCCGUAACUAUAACGGUCCUAAGGUAGCGAAAUUCCUUGUCGGGUAAGUUCCGACCUGCACGAAUGGCGUAAUGAUGGCCAGGCUGUCUCCACCCGAGACUCAGUGAAAUUGAACUCGCUGUGAAGAUGCAGUGUACCCGCGGCAAGACGGAAAGACCCCGUGAACCUUUACUACAGCUUGACACUGAACAUUGAGCCUUGAUGUGUAGGAUAGGUGGGAGGCUUUGAAGCGUGGACGCCAGUCUGCGUGGAGCCAACCUUGAAAUACCACCCUUUAAUGU
rnacentral:rRNA from 1 species